AUAAAAGUAAUCCAUGGGACUCCAAUGUUUAAAUCUUUAUAUUCAGAAGCGAUAUGAUAUGUGUGAGUGAGAAACAGAUCAAUAUUUAAGAUGUUUUAACCAUAAAUUCUCCUCCCUGCAUAGUAGGUGGCGAUAUGCAUAAAGAAUGGGAAUCGUCAAAAACAAAAGAAGAAUGUGAAAGUGGAGAUUUAUAGUAAAAAAGGACAUAAAUAUUUAUCUGUUUCUCACCCACACCUAUCAUAUCGCUUCAGAAUACAUGGAUUUAACCACUGGAGUCUUAUGGAUUACUUUUAUGCUGCCUUUAUGCCCAUUUGGAGCUUCAAAGAUCUGGUCACUAUUCACUUACAUUGUAUGGACCUACAGAGCUGAGAUAUUCUUCUAAAAAUCUUUGUGUUAAGCAGAAGAGAGAAAGUCAUACACAUCUGAGAUGGCAUGAGGGUUUGUAAAUUAUGAGAGGAUUUUCAUUUUUGGGUAAACUAUUCCUUUAAAUACAGUAAAACCUGUGUUUAGAACCAUUAAGAUUUUUUGCAUUGUGAUAUUAUUUUCACAAUAAUUAAGCAAAUUUCCCCCCAAAUUCUCAUUGCCAUAAUGCACAUUUUUUCUUAUUACUGUAAUGUGAAGGAAAUUGACAUGAGUCAUGAAAAUUUGCUUUACUGCCUUUAAAUUAUGCUGAUUUUAUUUAAAAAUACUGUAUUACAGUAUUUUUGUUUACUGUAAUACAGAAAAUGGUACUGUAUUGUAGUAAUGAAAGUCUAAUGAGAAUGACCAUUGAGAAUAAUGGGAAUUACACACAACAAUAAAAACUAAAAGGAACAAUUAAAUGUGUCAUUGUAAUCUCCUGUUGUUAUUUCAUUAAUAUAACAAUGCUACUGUCCUAAAUGUCUUUAAUAUUUUAUUUAGACCACAUUCCUGCAAAUCUCAGAGAUCAGCCCUCUCUUUCCUCCAGUGUUUCAGCGAAUCACUUUUCACACUAUUAGAUUAAGCAAGAACGCUGAGUCAAAUGAAAAAUCCCCCUCUCAUUCCCUGUACUUUUGGAAAAGAGUGCAGCAGGGGUGAUCCAUUGCUGCUUGGAGAUGUGCUCAUGUGACAGAUCUCGUCUGCUCUCCAUCCUGCCAGCAAGACAACAACACGCAGAAUCACAUGCAGACACAUCACAUGCAGAAAGAAGGAAGGGAGAAGAAAGUCAAACGGAACAACAUUAUGGAUUUGAACUGGCAUAUGACCUUUCUUGAGAUAGGACUAGUAAGUAAACAGCCCUACACCAAGAAAACAGGUGGAACACAGUGUUGCAACACUGAACUGGAGAGAGGCUGUUUGUCUGAACACAUGACAAGUUUGGAUUUCGCCUACUGGAUCUGAGCCUGGCUAGCGCUGAGAGGUGAGGAUGAUCUGUUUAAUUAAGCCUGGCUGUCGAGAGAGAAAUCAUUUUAAUAAGUUAUUUGACAUCCAGCACUGCCAGGAGAAUUACAGUAAGCCCACUUCUCGUGACCGCCAUGAAUUAAAAGGACUACUUGUGUAUGUGAAGGGGGCCACCCUGAUUUGUCUACUGUACCUGUUGUGGUUUUGUUAAAGGGGUCAUAUCAUUCUGUUUUUGCACUAAAAUUCGGAUUUAUUUUUAAAAAUUCGGAUUUAUUUUAUCCUGACUCUCUCUCUGACAUUUAGAAUAAAACAAUUCUAAAACUAGUCUAUUUUUUGCUGCUGUACCUAUAAAAAAUGCAUGUGAAAUUAACAACAACGCUGCCAGGUUUAGAAUAUACAGUAUAUAUUUUAACUGCCCUGUCUAACUUCAACAGCCUCUUUGCCAAGUCUGCAUCAUAUUUUGACAGAUUCCUAAAAUCAAUUCAUGCUGAAAAGUGCCACAUAAAUAGUUAAAGGGAUAGUUCACCCCAAAAUGGAAAUUCUCUCAUCAUUUAGGUUAAAAAUAAAUGUAAGCCACUUUUUCCUAACAUUGGGAUCCUUCAGGAGGAUAUGAAGAGUGGUAGGUGCUACACGCUGUCUGAAACAGCUCAAGGUUUGUAAAAUGUUUACAUAUUUAAUUCUUAAAUUGUAAAAUGUUGUUUAAGAAUAAUAGUAUCUAUCUAUCCAGCUAUCUAUCUAUCUUCUCAUUUCCAACACCUGAACGUAAAAAAAAAAAAUUCCAUUGUAGAUUAAGCUCUUUUUCCACACAAGAUAAAGGAAAAUGUGCAUCGACUGCUUCUUGCUCACUCUCCUGGGAUCAGUGGUGUUUCUCAAUGACUAUGCAAGAUUUCAAUUCCUGUGUGUUUAUGUCCAAGUACAGCACAGUUCAAAUCCAUGGGGCAGCAAUUUCUUUCUAAAGUCAUCCUAUUAGAACCCAAAGCUCUCCCUUUCUAGUCUCUCCUUGUGUCAUGUGAACUGGUUAAACUGUUUGUGCAGAAUCACAUGUGGGCCAGGCAGGUGAUAGCAGUGAUCCGACACAGCGGAGCAGAGCCGGAACAUCCACAUGGCCACAAGGCACUGCCCCACCCCUAUGCUGAUGGAAUUCCACAGCAGGGCCUAAUAGUCACACAUCAGAGGCCAAAAAAGGAAAAAAGCCAGAAACGGUUGUUUUUUGCUCAGUGCGGGCAGUGAAACUGGGCAACCUUUUGGACAUCGACUUGGUUUCUGUGGCUCAACUGGUAGAACAUGGUGCCAGCAACACCAAAGUCAUGGGUUUGAAUCACAGGACACACACAAAGUGAUAAAAAGUAUACCUUGAAUGCUUUGUUAGUCACGUUGGAUAAAAGCAUCUUCCAGCUGC